GCCCCAGUAACGGCGAGUGAAGCGGCAACAGCUCAAAUUUGAAAUCUGGCCCCCAGGGUCCGAGUUGUAAUUUGCAGAGGAUGCUUUUGGCAAGGUGCCUUCCGAGUUCCCUGGAACGGGACGCCAUAGAGGGUGAGAGCCCCGUCUGGUUGGAUACCGAGCCUCUGUAAAGCUCCUUCGACGAGUCGAGUAGUUUGGGAAUGCUGCUCUAAAUGGGAGGUAUAUGUCUUCUAAAGCUAAAUAUUGGCCAGAGACCGAUAGCGCACAAGUAGAGUGAUCGAAAGAUGAAAAGCACUUUGAAAAGAGGGUUAAAUAGUACGUGAAAUUGUUGAAAGGGAAGCGCUCAUGACCAGACUUGGGCCCGGUGAAUCAUCCAGCGCUCGUCGCUGGUGCACUUUGCCGGGCUCAGGCCAGCAUCAGUUCGCUCCGGGGGACAAAGGCUCUGGGAAUGUGGCUCCUCCGGGAGUGUUAUAGCCCACUGCGCAAUACCCUGGGGCGGACUGAGGUUCGCGCAUUCGUGCAAGGAUGCUGGCGUAAUGGUCAUCAGUGA
rnacentral:rRNA from 1 species